UACGAAGGGGGCUAGCGUUGUUCGGAAUCACUGGGCGUAAAGCGCGCGUAGGCGGCUAUCUAAGUCGGAUGUGAAAUCCCUCGGCUUAACCAAGGAAGUGCACCCGAAACUGGAUAGCUUGAGUACAGAAGAGGAUCGCGGAAUUCCCGGUGUAGAGGUGAAAUUCGUAGAUAUCGGGAGGAACACCAGUGGCGAAGGCGGCGAUCUGGGUUGAUACUGACGCUGAGGUGCGAAAGCGUGGGGAGCAAACAGG
rnacentral:rRNA from 1 species